UAGUGCCCCAGUCUCCACCCACUCGGGCGCCACGUGGCAGCCGAGCGAGGGCCUUGCGGUAGCGC
rnacentral:pre_miRNA from 1 species